CUGACUCAAUGGACGUGAGUCUCAGUGAACUCAGGGAGUUGGUGAUGGACAGGGAGGCCUGGCGUGCUGUGAUUCAUGGGGUCGCAAAGAGUCAGACACGACUGAGCGACUGAACUGACUGAAGCUCCCUACCGGUGAAUAUGACUAUGGGAGGUUGAAACAUACAUUGCCUCGACUUUUGUCAACUCACCCCCACCCCUUUUAGACUGUAGUACAGGCCUGUAGCUCUUAGCCUCUUGUCUCUGAGGACGUUUGUUCACCGAUGUUCUGAAUCGUCAGUACGUGUUUAACUCAGAUUUGUUUUAAUCGAUGCUGGUUUGGGUCUUGUACAAAUGAGGUUAUUUUGGUUGUCAUUUCAACACAAGGAAAGCCUUCUGCGCGCCUUGGCGUCUGUACAUGUUGGGACUCUUCAGGCACUGAAAUACUGAAGUCCAGCUCAUUCUCAGUCGCUUGAAAACUAUGUUCACUGUUGGACAGUACUGGCACAGGUUCCGGUCCAUUAAAGGACCUCAGCAAGUGGUGCCCAGAACAGGAGCUUGGUACACAUAUGCAGAUUCGGACGGAGUGACCCCAGGGCCCACUGAGGCCGAAGAUUCAACCCAAGGGGGCCCCCGGCAUUCAAAAUGGAGAUGAAACAACAAGACCCCUAGGAAGAAGAAAUUCCGAUAUGGGCUAUGUCCGCUCUAAAGAUCUCCAGAAAGCACCGCCCUCAGCGGCAUCACCCCUAUUAUCUCCCCACUUGGGGACAAAUAAAAACCCUUACUAAUCGA